AUUGAACGCUGGCGGCAUGCUUUACACAUGCAAGUCGAACGGUAACAGGCCUUCGGGUGCUGACGAGUGGCGAACGGGCGAGUAAUGCAUCGGAACGUACCCAGAGGUGGGGAUAACGCCGCGAAAGCCUUUCUAAUACCGCAUUUGAUCUGGGGAUUAAAGCGGGGGACCGGGCAGCAAUGUUUUGCCUCGCGCCUUUUGAGCGGCCGAUGUCGGAUUAGCUAGUUGGUGGGGUAAAGGCCUACCAAGGCGACGAUCCGUAGCUGGUCUGAGAGGACGACCAGCCACACUGGGACUGAGACACGGCCCAGACUCCUACGGGAGGCAGCAGUGGGGAAUUUUGGACAAUGGGCGCAAGCCUGAUCCAGCAAUGCCGCGUGCGGGAAGAAGGCCUUCGGGUUGUAAACCGCUUUUGGCAGGAACGAAACGGUGUCCGCUAAUACCGGGCGCUAAUGACGGUACCUGCAGAAUAAGCACCGGCUAACUACGUG
rnacentral:rRNA from 1 species